UUAAAGCAAGUAACCCAGCAAGAUGGGGAAAAAAAGGAGCAACUAAACCACAUCCUUAGCACCUGCAUUUAACUGGACUGAACUUCAAUGUGUGCAGGUGCAUCUGAAUUAAGAAGAAAAAAUCAGUUUCCUUAUUUUGCCACCUUCCUAAUUUCUGGCUCCUUCCAACAGGCAAAUGAUAAAGAUUGGCUUUGGAUAUGAAUAUGUAUAAAGUAGUUGGUCUAUUCUGGUGCAACAAGUCCAGCUAGGUGUUUUGAAGCAAUCAGAUGAAACCUUGUCAAUGCUGUAAGAAAUUUGUCCCACAGUAAUGAGAGGGUCCCGUUCUCCCAGCUAGCAUCCGAGGGCAAAGUGCCAACCUCUGAUCCGCACCACGCGUCGCUUCGUGGCUCUCUGCUGUGCGCUCAGGCUGAGCUGCUGCCAUUGAUGUCUGUGCAAGGAGUAAGGGCAGACUGUGCAACUGGGAGACUUUUUGCCCUACAACUGAAGGUAAAUGAACCGGAAUGACUAACUGAAAGGGAAGAUCUGUGGAUUCGGUAGGCUGUGAUGAGGUAGUGCUGAAAAGAGUGGAAGAGCCUGUGUGCUAGCUAACACAGGACAGUGCACUUUGCAGGCACAGCCAUGAGCUGGCAGACCACAAGAAAAGAGGGAAGUG
rnacentral:lncRNA from 1 species